rnacentral:misc_RNA from 1 species
UUAAAAAAAGGAACAUUUUUGCAUCAUAAGGAUAUGUUUUAAAAACAUUUUUUUUCUCAUAAACAAUGACAAUUAACAAACGCAAAACCCUUGUUUAGUGUUCUUCGCAAAAUAAAUGCACAGGGACGAAUUUUAAGGCGCCGCGCCCUGUCCCCAAAGCUCUUUUUUUAAAAAAACAAAUGUUAAUAAUAUAAAUACAUAUAGAGAAAAAAAAAAUAGCCCACAAUUAAUAUAAAAAAUAACCAAAUUUUUUCAUACUACACGUCUCUUG